UACGUAGGGGGCAAGCGUUGUCCGGAAUCAUUGGGCGUAAAGAGCGCGUAGGCGGUCCGGUAAGUCAGCUGUGAAAGUCAGGGGCUCAACCCUUGAAAGCCGGUUGAUACUGUCGGGCUAGAGUCCGGAAGAGGCGAGUGGAAUUCCCGGUGUAGCGGUGAAAUGCGCAGAUAUCGGGAGGAACACCAAUGGCGAAGGCAGCUCUCUGGGACGGUACUGACGCUGAGACGCGAAAGCGUGGGGAGCGAACAGG
rnacentral:rRNA from 1 species